CAUAUGAAAAACAAAAUAAAGACUGUUCAUUCAUAUGAAAAACAACGUAAGAUUGCUCAUUUAUACAAAAUUUUUAAGCAGGGGGGCCUAUAUCAUCACCUGCACCCCCCUGCUCACCAGUUGCUUUCACAUCUCCACCAACGAGAUUCUCCACUUAGGAAAAGUCAUCCCUCAAGUGGCGCCUUUUCAACUCAUCGACAAUGUCAUUUUGUGCUUUGACAUAUGUCUCUGCUAUAAGAUCAUUGCUAGCAGCUAACUCUUUCUCCAGCCCCUCAACCUCCAGAUUUAGUUCGGCCUCAGCAGAUGUUUUCUUACUUAACUCUGCUUACAUCAAUAAAUGUUCCUCCCGAGCAGCAACAAAACCAUUUUCAAGGGCAAAAAUUUUUUCCAUUAACUACUGAAGCCCCUCGAGACCUUGAGCCCUCUUUUUCAAAGUAGCUAUAGCCUCUUUCAAUAAUGUUAGCUCAGUCUCCUGAGUACUGACUUGCUUGCGUAGUGCUCGAUUCCUUUCCCUCAGGACUUGAGUAUAGGCCAGUUACCCCAUUUAAAGGGACACGAAGUGAAGAACUAAGUCAUCAUCAUGCUAGCCUUUCAGUCGGGCACGGUUCAGAGGAAUGGUAUAACACCUGGCGAACCAGUUCACAAGUCUUAAGUUGUCAACAACUAACUCACUAGACAGCCAUUACUCGAUCAUCUGCUAAGGCUAUUGGUGAGGAGGAUGAGGAGGAAGAGGAGGAACUGUUUUAGUAUCCAGGACCUCAAGUUCGAUGUGUGGCUCUGGUAUGUCCUGAACUUAUUCUUCAGAGUUAGGAGAAGUCAAGGGCAUUGUGGCUCUAGCACUUUUCGACACUGGCAGUGUCCAAUCAUCAGUAGUAGGAGCCUGCCGAACUUUCUUUUUCUUUCAAAUCAAUUGUUUGAUAUUUUUUGCUCCGCUCAUCAUCUUUGCAAAAGCAAAAUAGUUUAGCAAAUAAAAAAUGCUAAAGAGACAAAGUUUAAGUAUGUACCUUCUAAAGGAAGAUUGUUGUAAAGUUGGGCAAGGUUGGGAUCCCUCAACACGUAGACAGCAUCCCACUAUUUUUUUCAGCACCAAUUAAUUGAUCGAUUGAAAUUUUAUUUGAAGAGACUACUGCUUUCAAUUCCCUCACUACAGCUUUUUCCUCGGAAGAGAGUUAGACUUUACCCGCCCUCUUAUUAGAUAAAACAAUUCAAUUAGUUUGGAUGCCACCCCACUACUCAUCCGUUGUAUCUUUUAUAAAGAAAAAAUUAUCCUUCCACUUCUUUGAUGAAGAAGGGAGGUUAGCAAACAAGCCCAUAUCCUUUCUAUCAUGAAAAUGCCAAUAUUCUUCUGCAUCCUUAGUGUUCAAUUGGAAAAAUGCAACGAAGAUAUAAGCAGACACAUGAAUUCUUUUUCUUUGACACAACACCCAAAAACCAGAAAAAAACCUCCAUGAGUUAGGAUGCAUUUGUGAGAUUGAGAGUUGAUAAUACUUGAGAAUCUCAACAUCCAAAGGAUCGAGUGGAAGCCUCAACCCUGACUUGAGCUACCUUCAUACAGUGCUACCCUAACUGGGUGAAGGAAAGUACUAUCCUCCCGGCCACUCUGACUAGCAAGCAAAAUGAAAAAAUGGUCCUUAUUGAUGCCAUAAGUUCUGCUAAUCCAAAGAAGAUCCUAGCCAUUUAGCACUGAUUCGGUCUUACUAACUCUAGCAGGGACACUAGAACCUAAUGCACCAGCACCAUUUCUCAUCACCGGAGCAGGAACAAUUCCCAGCAUUCAAGGAUCCAACAACCUUAGGGACGACAAGGACACUAGUCUCAACAACUUUGUCAUUUCUAUAACCACGGCCAUCAGAUUUAGUGAAAACUGACCAUGUACUAGAAUCUUAGCUAUAAAUAGCCAUUGGAGGUGGCGGAGUCGCGUUAGAUCCUUUCCCUUCACUCAUUUUUAGGAAAAAAAAAAAAG
rnacentral:misc_RNA from 1 species